UCCAGGGUCCAUUCAACAAUUAAUAAUCAGGGACUUCAACAGAGAGGUUAAACAAUUAUGUUGGCAAACGACCAUUUCAUCUGUAUUUUUAAUGUUUUCUCGUACUUUACAACAAAAACUGAGGCUUGGGUUGUGCAAUCCAGCAGCUUAAACGCAAAUAGUAAACCCCCUGAAGUUUCUCAGCAAAUUCAGGAAUUACAUCUGGUAAAUAGUAAUGUCAAAGCAUUGCUGCAGUUGCAGACAGUAUAGGAAGAUAAGUGGAUACUGUUUAACAUUACAGGGCACAUGUAAAGUGUACAGUCCAGGAAAGCACCUCUAUGUCUCCUCUAAGCUGAGCCCAUCAUCAUGCUCAACUGUAUCUGGAAAAAACUCUUCAUUUGGAUACAUCUUCUGAAACAGCUUCAUAGCUGAAUCUAAGACAUCACCAUAGUCCAGAUUUCCAUCGGGCAUGGGAGUGGAGCUGAUAGAAUCAAAUUGACCCGUUGCAAGCUCCUGAAUAUACAAUGCGCUCCAAAGUAGAGUGGGUUUUAGUUCUGCAUUUUCAUUUUGAUCUGCACAACUACUUUCAAGAUUCACAGAAUCAGGACAAGUGAAAAGGGCAUUCAUAGCUGCAUUUAGUGACUUCUUCCCCUGAUGAGCAUCAUCAGACAAAGCCGACAGAUACAGCACAAACAUGCCCCGCGGACAAACAGCUGAAUUGCCACUAAUCUGGAGAGCUCGAAUUGAUGUAAUCUGCUCAGGAUACAAUGAUUGAGGAGGAUAUACAACCAGGAAAUUUGAUAUGUCUGGCUUCAAGGAACUUCUCAUAAUGCAUAUUCCCCUAGCUACCUUCUGUUUAACAUCUCUCAUGCAUAGAAAUUGAAAACUUUCAUGGAAAGAAUCCAAUGGAGAAGCUGAGGGUGAUGGAACUGUUAAGGAUGGAUCCAGAACUAGCUUCUGACUAAAUAUGUCCUGACCAGAAGCCAAUCUUAUACCUUUGUACACGCCACUACUCUUUUCCAAAAGCAAAGAAGUCACUGGCAUUCGCAAAACAUAAAUACAGCCUUUCACUGCAGCACGACGACAAAAGGCUUGUGGCAGUUCCCCUUGACCAUAAAUAGGAUAAAUAAAAGCCCCAGGCGCAUUCGUCAACCUGCCAACUGACGAUUGAUACAGAGCCAAGCGAGCUAUUCCAUCUUUUGUCUUGAGUAGAUCUUUACAUUGCUCUUUGUUGUCCUGGUCAUAAUCAGCCAUGGCUAUAGCAUAUAGGAUAAUCGAUUUAAUCUUGGAAGGCAACUUCAUUUUUGUCAAGAACUCAACAAAUGGACUUUCCAAAUCCUCCUCUGAAAUCUCUGAUUCUUUUCCUUCUUCUUGAUUCUCGUUUCCUUCAUCUCUAUCAGAAGCAGCCGCCAUAUGUACCUGCACCAGCUUAAAGAACCUCAUCAACCGAUUCUUCUCCAUCAAGCUCAAGCUCUUGUCUUUAAAAAUAGCAGCCCUGGUAUCUGGUACACUCCACAGCUUCCCACUCUCAUCGCCCACGAAGCUCGCAUCUAUGCUCUUGAAUUCCA
rnacentral:misc_RNA from 1 species